AUGACGUCAACAAAUGAUGGUAGCCAUGGGGACAACAGCACCACCUAGCGGAUAUUUCUAAAGAAAAUGGAUUGUCUCUCCAAUCCGUCCGUUUGGUGGGCAUUUAGGAUGUCAUGGGCUUGUAUGCACAAAUCGCCGGGCUCAGCUGAAGAUUCCCAAAUAACUGUGGUCUGCUACCUUUGCGUCAACCAAUGAAUAGACGACUUCGGAGUUCCGAACUGCGCAAUCUGCGACAUCACGUUACACCGAUCAAAGAUUAAUACUGUCUAGAAAUGGCUUGUUUAGGUAGAAAGUACAUUGCCGGUGUCUUUAAAGUAGAUUGUUCUGUACAUUUGAAUUUUGGAAACAUAUUUGAAUAAAAUGUGAAAAACGUU